rnacentral:rRNA from 1 species
UGCCUUCAGGAUGGGGACAACAGACGGAAACGAACUGCUAAUACCGAAUAAGUUCCAAGAGCCGCAUGGCCCAUGGAAGAAAAAGGUGGCCUCUACCUGUAAGCUAUCGCCUGAAGAGGGGUUUGCGUCUGAUUAGCUGGUUGGAGGGGUAACGGCCCACCAAGGCGACGAUCAGUAGCCGGUCUGAGAGGAUGAACGGCCACACUGGAACUGAGACACGGUCCAGACUCCUACGGGAGGCAGCAUG